rnacentral:rRNA from 1 species
UACGUAGGUGGCAAGCGUUGUCCGGAUUUAUUGGGUUUAAAGGGUGCGUAGGCGGCUUUGUAAGUCAGUGGUGAAAUAUGGCAGCUCAACUGUCAGGGUGCUAUUGAUACUGCGGAGCUUGAGUACAGAUGAGGUAGGCGGAAUUGACGGUGUAGCGGUGAAAUGCUUAGAUAUCGUCAAGAACACCGAUAGCGAAGGCAGCUUACUGGGCUGUAACUGACGCUGAGGCACGAAAGUGUGGGGAUCAAACAGG